rnacentral:rRNA from 1 species
UACGUAGGGGGCAAGCGUUGUCCGGAAUCAUUGGGCGUAAAGCGCGUGUAGGCGGUUCGAUAAGUCUGCUGUGAAAGUCCAGGGCUCAACCCUGGAAAGCCGGUGGAUACUGUCAGACUAGAGUGCGGAAGAGGCGAGUGGAAUUCCCGGUGUAGCGGUGAAAUGCGCAGAUAUUAGGAGGAACACCGGUGGCGAAGGCGGGUCUCUGGGCCGAUACUGACGCUGAGGAGCGAAAGCGUGGGGAGCGAACAGG